rnacentral:rRNA from 1 species
ACCGCCCUAGUUCUGACCGUAAACGAUGCCAACUAGCGAUCCGCUGAUGGAAAUUAUAUUGCCUUGGUGGGGAGCUUCCCGGAAACGAAAGUCUUCCGGUUCCGGGGGAAGUAUGGUUGCAAAGCUGAAACUUAAAGGAAUUGACGGAAGGGCACCACCAGGAGUGGAGCCUGCGGCUUAAUUUGACUCAACACGGGGAAACUCACCCGGCCCGGACACUGUGAGGAUUGACAGAUUGAUAGCUUUUUCAUGAUUCAGUGGAUGGUGGUGCAUGGCCGUUCUUAGUUCGUGGAGUGAUUUGUCUGGUUUAUUCCGAUAACGAGCGAGACUCUAACCUACUAAAUAGCUGGUACAUACUCUUAGUGUAUACAGCUUCUUAGAGGGAUUUGCGGCGUUCAGCCGAAAGAAAUUGAGCAAUAACAGGUCUGUGAUGCCCUUAGAUGUCCGGGGCUGCACGCGCGCUACACUGGCAAAAUCAACGUGCUUGUCCUACCCUGAAAGGGGCGGGUAAACCAUUGAAAAUUUGCCGUGAUUGGGAUCGGAAAUUGCAAUUAUUUUCCGUGAACGAGGAAUUCCAAGUAAGUGCGAGUCAUCAGCUCGCGUUGAUUACGUC